UAUGUAUGUGUAUAUAUAUAUAUGUGUGUGUAUGUAUAUAUGUAGGUAUAUGUAUGUAUGUAUAUAUAAUAUGUAUAUUCCCUUUCUGUUUAUAUAUUAUCCACCACCACCAACUCACCCACAUCACGGUGCUGUGCCUGUUCAAGGAACAGAAUGAAGUCUUAUUCGUGUAAAGUUAAAUCACACUGCAUUUAUACAAAGGAAAAUAAAAAAAAAAUAUUGCUCACCAACAACUGAAGUGGGUCGUGGAGUGAAAGAGU